rnacentral:tRNA from 1 species
GGCCCCGUAGCUCAGUAGGAUAGAGCGACAGAUUCCUAAUCUGUAAGUCGUGAGUUCGAAUCUCGCCGGGGUCACCA